AAUGUAGAUACAACUAUGCAAUAAAGGAAUGUAAAAAAAGGCAUAUGAUAAAAAAAAAAUAAAGUUAAAUAAAGCAGCGCAGGCCAUCUGCCAAUGGGUUUGAGGAUUCUAUCCAAUGUAUAGUUAAAAAACUGACUUCAACACCAAUAAGAGUAUUCAAGAGCGCUGUCUUUUGUUUUGGUGUCUCUCUCUUUGUGUCUGUGUUCCCAUCGCUUUUUUCUCCUGAGUUUGCAGAGUCAGGAGGUGCCAAAGUUCCAUCACUUUAAAUGUGUCCUGUCCAUGGAGGGCGAGAUUUCUGAAAAAUGUGUUCCAGGAUUAUGAGAAUAAACUAAAGGAGGGUGAGAUCAUUGACACCAAAGAACAUGUUGAUGCACCCCGAGCCAUUGUGGCCAAAUAUCUGCAAGGAGUGCUGAUCUGUUUGGGUCUACAUCGCCUCCCUGGACAGUGCACGCUAGAUCUCAGCACAACAGCAUCCGCAAUAAUCAAAAGACUUUGUGAUAUACUUCAUAUGAAAUGAAAAUAUCAUAUUUUAUGUUAUUUUAUUGUAAUGCCUGUAAGUGUGUUUUAAACACUACUUCUACUAGUAGUUCUCUCAUUUAUUUUAUUUUUUAAGG